rnacentral:misc_RNA from 1 species
GAUGAAGAACGCAGCGAAAUGCGAUAAGUAGUGUGAAUUGCAGAAUUCAGUGAAUCAUCGAAUCUUUGAACGCACAUUGCGCCCCUCGGUAUUCCGUGGGGCAUGCCUGUUCGAGCGUCAUUUACCCCUCAAGCACUGCUUGGUGUUGGGCGUCUGUCCCGCUUCGCGCGCGGACUCGCCCCAAAGGUAUUGGCAACGGUCGUGCCAGCUUCUCGCGCAGCACAUUGCGCUUCUCGAGGCGGUCGAUCGGCGUCCACGAAGCUCACCUCCACCGUUUGACCUCGGAUCAGGUAGGGAUACCCGCUGAACUUAAGCAUAUCAAUAAGCGGAGGA